UCGUAACAAGGUUUCCGUAGGUGAACCUGCGGAAGGAUCAUUACUGAGUGAGGGCCCCUCGGGGUCCAACCUCCCACCCGUGUUUAACGAACCUUUGUUGCUUCGGCGGGCCCGCCUCACGGCCGCCGGGGGGCUCCUGCCCCCGGGCCCGCGCCCGCCGAAGCCCCCCCUUGAACGCUGUCUGAAGUUUGCAGUCUGAGAAACUAGCUAAAUUAGUUAAAACUUUCAACAACGGAUCUCUUGGUUCCGGCAUCGAUGAAGAACGCAGCGAAAUGCGAUAACUAAUGUGAAUUGCAGAAUUCAGUGAAUCAUCGAGUCUUUGAACGCACAUUGCGCCCUCUGGUAUUCCGGAGGGCAUGCCUGUCCGAGCGUCAUUGCUGCCCUCAAGCACGGCUUGUGUGUUGGGCCCCCGUCCCCCCCUCUGCCGGGGGGACGGGCCCGAAAGGCAGCGGCGGCACCGCGUCCGGUCCUCGAGCGUAUGGGGCUUCGUCACCCGCUCUUGUAGGCCCGGCCGGCGCCAGCCGACCCCAACCCUAAAUUUUUUUCAGGUUGACCUCGGAUCAGGUAGGGAUACCCGCUGAACUUAA
rnacentral:misc_RNA from 1 species